GAUGAACGCUGGCGGCGUGCCUAAUACAUGCAAGUCGAGCGAACAGACGAGGAGCUUGCUCCUUUGCCGUUAGCGGCGGACGGGUGAGUAACACGUGGGUAACCUACCUCUAAUACUGGGAUAACUUCGGGAAACCGGAGCUGAUACCGGCUAAUAUUUCGAACCGCAUGGUUCGAUAGUGAAAGAUGGCUUUGCUAUCACUUAUAGAUGGACCUGCGCCGGAUUAGCUAGUUGGUAAGGUAACGGCCUACCAAGGCAACGAUACGUAGCCGACCUGAGAGGGUGAUCGGCCACACUGGAACUGAGACACGGUCCAGACUCCUACGGGAGGCAGCAGUAGGGAAUAUUGCGCAAUGGGCGCAAGCCUGACGCAGCAACGCCGCGUGAGUGAUGAAGGUCUUCGGAUCGUAAAACUCUGUUAUUAGGGAAGAAUAACCGUGUAAGUAACCGUGCAUGUCUUGACGGUACCUAAUCAGAAAGCAACGGCUAACUACGUG
rnacentral:rRNA from 1 species